rnacentral:rRNA from 1 species
GAUGAAUGCUGGCGGCGUGUUUAACACAUGCAAGUCGAACGGACGAAAUAAGCUUGCUUAUUUCGUUAGUGGCGCACGGGUGAGUAAUGUAUAGCUAACCUGCCCUUUAGUGGGGGACAACAGUUGGAAACGACUGCUAAUACCCCAUACUCCUUCUUAUCAUAAGGUAAGUCGGGAAAGAUUUAUUGCUAAAGGAUGGGGCUUUAUUGUAUCAGCUUGUUGGUGGGGUAAUGGCCUACCAAGGCGAUGACGCAUACCUGGUCUGAGAGGAUGAUGAGGCACACUGGAACUGAGACACGGUCCAGACUCCUACGGGAGGCAGCAGUGGGGAAUAUUGCACAAUGGGGGAAACCCUGAUGCAGCAACGCCGCGUGGAGGAUGACGCAUUUCGGUGUGUAAACUCCUUUUAUAAGGGAAGAUAAUGACGGUACCUUAUGAAUAAGCACCGGCUAACUCCGUGCCAGCAGCCGCCGUAA